GCUUAUGGCCAGAAGACAUUCUCAAAAUGACUUGCUAGACAUGCUGUCAGAGUGGUCAUAGAGAUCCAACGAACCAGCAACUUCACAGCUGAGACCGUCCAAGAGCCAGAGAACUAGCUCUUGCCUGCGGAUCAAGACUUGCUGAUCCAGAGGUCUACGUCGAGAGCCACGGACCAUUAUCAGGUCCAGGUCGUAUACACCAAUGCCUCAGGAGCAGCUUCAGCACCAGCGCCAUAGUAAUGCUCACUUACUUCUUGAAAACUAAGGACAGUGAACUAACGGAGAGAUGCUCAGCAGUUACGAGCACUGGCAGCGUUUGCAGAGAACCUGGGUUUGUUUCCCAGCUCUCACGUGGAGGCUCACAACUGUCUGUAACUCCAGUUCCGGGGGCUCUUAUGCCCUCUGCUGGCCUCCAUGGGCACUGGAUGCAUGUCGUACAUAUAUAAAUCUAAAUUCAAAUAAAUUUUUAACAAAGAUAAACUACUGACAUUGAAAGAAAAAUUAUAGCUAUAAAUAACAACUAAGGACAGAAAUAAUAACUUAGAACAAGACACACAGUGUUAUCUUUGUAUUAAUAUCCUUAGGAGAGACAGGAAAGACACAGUAGGUGUUGCUAAGAUAGCUGUGGGCAUGGAAUAUACGUUUGAAACAGUGGAUGAUCCUGGGCUGGAGAAGCAGAUGCAGUGAGAUGAAACUGGGUGACCUCCAUUAUACUGUUCUCUCUACAUGUAUAGAAAAGCGAGAGUGUCUCAAGUAGAUCUAGCACAUCUUAUGUAGAACAAACCUCCAACUUCAUCUUCUUGGGCUCACUGGGCAAAGGCAGCUGUCUCUAAGCCUGAAAGCCUGAGUUCAAUAUGUUUAGAAAAUUAAAUCUCUAACAUCAAGUCCCCAUGGGCCCUGCUGAAUGCUUUUCCGAGUCACGUUAGGGAAGCUGACGUUCUAGCCCAAGUUCUAACAAGCUCCCAGGUGCUAGGAUUCUGCUGGACUCUGGGUCACACUUGAGGAGCAGGGAGAAAGAAAACCACAGCACCCCAUGGCUACUAACUAGAACCCUUUUUUCUAUGCAGGUCACCUGGUAGGCACAAAUAUGAAGAAAAUAGAGGCUUUUAUUAAUAUGGGAAAAGGAGAAGAAAGAAUAUUCAUUAUCACGCUUCAAAAACCACUGCCCAAACAGUUGAGCCAUCACGAGAAGAGAGCCCAGAGGAUAAUGAUGUCAGACAAGACUUAGGCAGUUUAAAUAAAUCUCACUCUCCAGCAGACCUAGUGUUUACAUAUUAAGGAGCUUUGUACCAGAACUGCGCUGUCAUGUUUCUGCCUAGAAGCUGUCAGGAUAAAGUUUACUAUCAAUUACUGCUUUACAAGUAUAAAAUAAGUUAAGCUGUCAUCAUUUUCUCUGCCAGAGAUCCUAAACUGUCAAAGAAUGCCAAUUUUUAAUCUGACACAGAGAAGAAAAUUAUCUGUUAUUCUGACCUCUAAUUUCUUGACAUUUUAAUGCCAUAAUUGCUGUGGUUAGUGCUGGUUCAUGACUUCACCUGUCAGGGAAGAAUGAGUCAAUAACCUUAAGCUAUUUCUCAAAUUUUCGUAGUAACUUCAAAGCUGAAAAUUCUAGGCAGAUCAUAGAAUUUUUAAACAAAGGGGACAUAUUAGUCUUUUAUGGUGAUGUUUAGCAUUUUAAAAAACAUUAUCUUAAUUAGUCAAAUUGACAUUAUAAAACAAACACAAAAAACUAGUCUUCCUGUGGUCUUAUAUAUUAAUGAUCUUUGCAUUAAAAAUAUCAAAAUAAUCUACUUUUUAAAGGAGUCUGUGUUCAAUCUUUCAGACUGAAGCAUCUCUCUCAAGUUAGGGUCUAGUUGGGCAGGUCUACAGGGUUCCAACAGGGAUGUUGAAACCAGUACUGCACCUCUCCAGGGGUCUUUCAUGGUGAUAAUGUGCAGGGAGGGCAUAAACGACCAUCAACCAUAGACGCACUAGCUUCAGAGCUGUGUCUCACGACCAUGGAGGCUGAGUCCCACUUUGUAGAGCAACUGAGAUAGUGAGUGAGAUUCCGCACUCUGGCUCUCUUCAGCUAUCCGGUAGCUCUUGAGUGGUUUGUAGCUUUUGCAGAAGACUGUUCUUCAAGCUCGUAAAUGGUAGGACAGGACAUUUUGUAGGAACAUGUGUCAUUCUAACUUAUUUACUGACAUUAAUGGGAAUGUAUGAGAGGGAAUGAUGGUGGGUAAUAGGAGAGAAAAAAAGUUAAUUCAUAUUCCUUAAAAGCCCUCAAUCUGUUGUUUGCAUCACACUAAUGGUCUCUUGUUGCUCUUGAGGAGGUGAAGCAGCUUCCUCAGCAAUCCUGAAUUGAUAGUGAUCUUCAAAGCCAGUGCAAACACCUCUGCUGACCUGUGUUAGGGCCUGUGCUAGCUGGAGGGAGAGGGUGUGUUACGAGAGUAUCAUAGCUCUAAGAGACAACAACUCAGACACCUGGGCAAGGGUUUGAGGAGGAAAGGACGCACAACCUAGUUUGGGUCUGAGGCUGGCAGCGUUUCGGCAUCCAGCGAGUGUUUACACAGAAGGAGAUGCUCAAAGGAGCCAAGUCCUAAACAGAGACAUCCGGCCUAGCACUAGACAGUCUGCAUCAUUUUUUAUUAUUGGGGUAAUAAAAACUCAUAAUGUAACAGAUUCUGUUCAGAGCAUCAACAUAAUAAGCAAACACAAGGCUGGACC